rnacentral:misc_RNA from 1 species
UUUAUCAGCAAGAACAACCGUUUAUAUUUGCUCACCCUCUUCCCUCCCUUCGAAUAGCAUCGUAGCCCUCCUCUUCCCACAACCGAUCACCCCACACUAUCAUCAGCUUGUCUUAUUGUUUUGUUUGUGUUUUCGUCAUUUUUUUGUUGUUCCGUCAUUUUUCCCUUUUUUGUUUAAUUUGAUUUUCUUUUUUUUGGUCUUAUUGUUCUUCUCUUUUUCCCUUUCUUCGCUUUUUUCCCUCCCUCGUUGUCCUCUCGUUUUUCUUUGUGCUCCGUUUUUCCGUUGUGUUGCUGUAUUUCUUUCUGCCUCUCGCCUUCCCUUCCCUCCCCCUCCCUCUAUCACUCACUCAUUCACUCUCUUUCUGUGCUUACCCCUCUUCGUUACCUGUUGUGUGUGUGUGUGCACGGUGCAGUGCGUGCCUGGUCUGUUUUUCGUCUUUCCCCCCUUCCCCCUUUUUUCGCUGUGAGUGUGCGAGCGGCUUGUGCAGCCGAAGUUGCUUUCGUGUGUGCUCGUGCUUUUUAUUUCCUUUCUUUUUUUUUCGUUGGGUUCCCUAUAUUGCUUGUGGACGAUUCUGUGUAUGCGUGUGUGCUUAUUGUGUUUGCGCAGGCGUUUGCGGCUGUUUGUAGUUCUCUCUUUUUUUUGUUUUGGCCAGCGCUGAAGCUUUUGGAUUGCUCUUUCCCUGUCUCGCUCUCGCUCUUUCUUGUUGGACCCGUUUUUCUCGGUAGUGCGAGUUUCCGCGAAUUCAAAAAAAAAAGACAACAAACCCCAGCCUUGUGUGUCUUCGAUCUGCCCAGCUCACAUCGCCUGCGCUUGUGCAAGCAAAAAAGAAAAAAAACAACCACAAACACAAACGAAAAGAAAGAUAAGAAACACAACGAAAACGGAGAAAAAAAACAAAAGCAAAAACAAACAAAGAAGAGUGUUUACCUUUUUUACUCUCAACCAGCACUAUCGUUAAACGUGUCACCCCAGCAUCUCUGACGAUUUUCUGCUCGUAAGUGCCCACCGCCGUUGUAGUAGUUCGCAGACGCAGACGCAUACGUUCUCUUGCUCAAUUUUUUUUCUAUCGCCUGCUUCCACGGUGCCAUUGUUUUUGCUGUUUGUUUCGUUUUCAAGUGUGUGUAUGCUUGCGUGCUCUUUUCACGGAAGUUCUCUUGGUUCACCUCAUUACGGGCACGCAACCACGCACACCACUGCGGAAGCAUAUCGGGAAUCUCAGCCCCUCCGCGCAAUCCCCCCUUUUUGUGAAGUCUGCAGAAGGUGGAAAAGGACAAGCACACACGCAAGACGUUGUUCUCCUUUUAUCUCUCUGUCUUUUUACGUGCGUGUGCGUGUGUGUGCCACCAUCCUUUUUUUUGUCUUCUCAUUAUUUUAACUUCUCUGACCUCGUCUCUCUCUCUCGGUGCUACGACGCACUGUACGUACGGCGGCGGCUUCCGAUCUUUUUUUAUUGGUCUUGACGCUUUCUCCCUCCCCCUUCUCUCUCCUUUUUGGGAUUACUGCGUCUACUAGUACCACCUGUUUUUUCUCUCUUCACUUCUCUCUGGUGGGUCUCUGUCUGCCUGGUACUCCAUUCCUUUACUACUGCAUCAUAUCACGUCCAUCGUAUCACCACGACCACCACCAAAAACUCUCUGCUCCUCUCAGACCUGUUCAACAUACAGAAGACACACACACACACAUACACGCACAAGGAAAGAAAUACAAACUUACUCCGUCACUCACGCAUCAUCUUCCCCCUUGAAAGAAUUUCACCCAUUCUUCCACCGAGCCACCUCAAGACGAAGGAACAACAGCUCUAUCUUUUUUUUUCGUGGUCUCUUAAUUCCUUUUACCCUCUUCUCUUUUUUUUUUCGUCGCUCGCUUGAGCUUCGAGCAGUUAGUCUGCGCUGCAUUGGCCGUCCUCCUUCAUCUGCUCCUCUCUUUUUUUUCUAUUUCUCUGUUUGCCCUCCCCACCUCCCUCCCUCCUCUCUCUCCGUGGUCUCUCUCGUUCUUUGAUUUCUUUGUCUUUUUUACUCGCUUGGCUGCUGUUGAGGUAUUACCUUCUCUUUUUUUAUGGUUUGCCCUUUUUGCACAGCUCAGUAAGGGAAGAAACUCCUCUCUCACUGUCUGCCUUUCCCUUCCCUUCCCUUCCCUUCCCUUCCCUUCUCUCUCUCGCUCUCCCUCCAUCUCCGCCUCCACCUUCCCCUCCCUUUGAUUCGGUUGUGUUGUGUGUUUGUCCUCCCUCACACUCUGUCGCUCAUCUGUGUGAAGUGUUUUCCUUUUGUUUGCCCCCCCCCCCUGCCCUUUUUACGCCGCUCUUAUCUCCUUGGUUCGGCUGGUGGCGGCUCCAGUGUAUGUUAUUUUCGCUGUUCAGCAUUCGAAUUGGGGUAUUCUGACACGUUUUUGCGUGUCCUUUCCUUUGUGCUUUUGAUCUUUGCUUGCUUCGCUUCCCCUCUUCCCUUAUUGUGUACCUUUAUCUUGAAGCUCGGGCCCUUUACGGCGGUUCUGUGUGCUCGUGUGCCCGCCUCACUCUUCGGGUGGUCUCCUCCUCCCUAUCCUCCCUCUGUUCCGUUUUCUCGUUCCCUCCCAUCUCUCUUCUCCUACUCCUACUGGUGUGCUGCGAGGGUGCGAUCGCGUACGUCUCUCUGUCUGAGAGAAGAGAAAGACGGAUAAAAAGCCACCGGAGCCGCUUGUUUCGUUUUCGUCUCUCUUAUUGUGUUGUAAAUUGGAGGGGGGCAAAAGGAAGAAGGGCUCUGCUCCUCGUCGACUCUAUUUUUUUUCCGUUUGACUUCUCUUGGGGUUUCGUGUUGCCGACUUCACCCUCUUCCGGUUUCCUCGUAGGAUAGGCACACACGGCUCUCUCUGUGUGACUAGCUUCCCAUUCAGCCUUACUUUUACUCCGAUUGCUUCAGUGCCUCUGUGCUUUUUCUUGGCGUAGAGAUCAAGGCGGAGGGAAAACAGACAGAAAAACGUCUUUAUUCCUGACCCCUCCCCUAACAGGACACCAACCGAAACCGACGAGCGUUGACACAGAAGGUGCACGACACAAGCACAUACACCAGCGAGAGGAGGUGCACAAGCAAAAACAAGCAAACACGGAGACUUAUCUUUUUCUCCUCUUGUCACUUCCUCUCCUUCUUUCCCUUUUCUCCCUAUUAUCCACCCCACGAUCAGCCUUCCUUUUUUUGUAAAGUUUUAAUCCCUUCUCCCUCUCUGUGUUUUACCCCCUCUCCCGUUUGUUCGCUAAAUCAACUUUCCCCCUUCGCCCGCUUCCUCCUUUUUCCCCUCCGUACAACUGUCCUACAUCAUCACGAGAGCAGCACUGCCCUUUCCACCUUUUUUUUUUUUCGUUUUUUUUUUGUUGUUUAUCAUUUGCCACAUCCAAACUCGCAGCUCAGGGUUACUAGAAGCACACCCUCUCUCCUUCCCCACCCACCCUCUCAAAAAAGAAAAAGAAACGAACACAACACAACAACAACUGCGCACCCCCUGGUACACACCUACGAGUCUUUUUUUUUAGCUCUCAUUUUUACCUUUAUUUAUUUCGGCUCUCCAUCUCUUGUGCCCACACACAAGUGUCACCCCAUCACUCGCUUUCUCUCGCUCUCUUUCCGUACAUCGCAAACACACACACACACACAAACCAACCGAGAAAAAAAUAAAACUAACUAUCCUCUUUUCCUUUCUCCACUCAAAGGAAAGUGCGGCGAGAAACAGAACAUCGCCGAGCCGAGCGACAGAGUAAGAAAGAGAAGCGCGUGAGCCUUCUCGAAGAGGGAGCAAGAAAACAUAAAGACGAGGAACAACAAAAAAUAAACAGAGUAGAGAACUUCUUCUUUCCAACUUUUCCUUCGGCUCAUCUCGCGUGGUGCAAGUCGCUCCCUGCCCAUCCCUGCGACCUCGCCGGCACGCCAGCGACAGCAGCCGAAAGAAAAGGGAAAGUCCAGGUGAGACAGACAGUCAAGAGAGAGAAGCUGCCGAAGUGAAAUUUCCUUCCUAUCCAGAGAGGCGUUCAAGCAGAUCGAUCCACGCGCACACGUAACAAAAAUAUCCCAAAACGUGAUCGAGUUCAUAUUAUCUAUUUCCACUCGUUUGCUUUUCUCUAUCUUCUAAACGCCAUCUUGUGAGUACUUUGGUUGUACUGAAAAGUGUCUAUAUAUACCACGAAGGAAGGAGCUCAACGAGCGCAAAACGAAGAGAAACAAAGGAGAGACGGUACGCACAUCAGUCUUUUUUUUGUCCUUUGCUGUCCCCCCCCCCACCCCUUCCCAAGAGAACAAAGCCGUUCCUGUCUCCCCACUUCUGCCCCUUUCAAACGUGCCUCCCUCACCUUUACUCGCGCCUCUUUGUCUGCUUUCUUUCUUUUCUUCUCACGUCCUCCCCCUUCACCCCCUCCUCUCUCACCUACCUCUUUCUUCCUGACUUAUCUGCCUCCCUAGAAAUCAUUCGGCCGCGAGGAUAGCGAUUCUCACAACUCUCGAACUCUCGCCUCUGCCCUCCUGCAUUGAUCUGGUCGUUUUUGUAUUUCGACAAGUUUCUUCGUUCUCUCUUUCCCCGUCGCCCGCUUCUUUUUGGUCUUUCGUUUUUGUUGUUUCUCGGCUUUCACUAGCCCGGGUUUAUUUUUCCGCCUCCUCAAUCGAUCUGCUUGCCUACAGUCAACUCCACGUGCGUCGUCUUUGGUUGACUUUAGUUGUUGCCAGCCUCGCUCUUGUUUUCUUGAAGUUAUUUUCUUUCCCACACUUGUGUAAAGUUAUUGCGUUUUCUCUUCCGUCUUUUGUUUUUGUUUUGCACUGAUUGUGCUUCGUUAGUGAUUCUUCCUCGUGUCUUCUCACCUUUCGUACUGCGCGCGCGGAGUUGACAUACUCCAUCAAGAUCUCCUGUGCUUCAUCUCUUUCUUUUUUUUCCCUUCACGCGUGUGCGUGGACGCCGUUGUCUCCCGUUUUUUUCCUUUGAGAGAAAAAAAAAGGGAUUGCCCACUUUCUGCCUUCUCUGCGCUCUCGCUUCUCUUUUUCUGUUUUCGGGGUUGUGUACCUUCGUUUCGAUUUUUUGUUCUGUCGUCGCCUCCAUCCGGCCCACCACUGCUUCUUUUGUGCAUUUCUUUUCUUUUUGUUGUUGCUCGAAGCGUGCAGUCUGUUUUCUUUGCUUUUUUUUUUCAAAUCUUGUCUUCGCUCGAUUUUCACCGCUUCAUUCUUGUUUCGUUCCGUAGCAAGGCAACGCGCAUACGCUUCGCGGCUUCGUGUCACUCGAUAAAGCAAGAAAGGCCGCAGCGUGGAGAGACGCAGAGGGACGAAAAACGAGGGCGAAGCACAGAAAUCACCGAAGCUCAGACGCAGCCAGAGGGAUACAAGCGGGGGAGGGGGAACGACACAUAGAGAAGAGCAGCGAAGAAAGGCGUUCUGUUUUUUCUUUCUCUACCGAUCCUAACGGCUAUUGGGUAGAGGAAGCACAAGCACACGGGGAUUCUGGUACGUGAUAAUUCCUUUUUCCACCUCUACCCUGCACAGGAAAUAACGUUCCUUUCAAAAUAAAAGAAGCGUUACACAAAGUAGACCGCGUCGCCUGUGGAAAGAGCUACUUAUAAUUUUCUCUUUCACAUACGUACACAUACACUCACGUGGCCGCGGCUGCUCUCCCUUUCUUUAUAUCUUUCCCAUUUUUUUUUUCCGUUCGUGUGGGCCUCAGGGAGUAGAAAACAACAAGAAAAACAAAAACUCCGACAACAAACAGUAGCACACCAGCACACACACACACUCACAGAUCAAAGAAUACGCACAGAACACCUCCAGAGGUCUCUCUCUCUCUCGCACCUCCUCGCUCUCUUUGGGGUGUUGAUAUUGAAAUAAAAAAAACAUUUUCUUGCCGCCUCACUCGUUUUGUGCUUCAUUUUUUCCCCUCUUCUGAGUAGACGGUUUUUGUUCAUUUUCGUUUGCGGUUUUGCUCUUGUUGUUUUUAUCGCCAUUACUUAUACAUUUCUCUUUCCUCUUACUCUCGUCUUCGCUUAUUAUUAUUAUUGCGCGACGAAGGCGCUGUGCAUGGUCCCUCCUCUUCCUUUAGUUUUGUUUCGAUCGCCUCUCUGACAUCUUGCUGUUUUUCUUGCUCCUUCCUUGAAGCUUCACGUACGCACAAGCAAGCGUCAUCUUGCCAUUGAGGUGUGGGCCCUUCAGCGCACCUUGUCACACAGGGUGCGACGAGACACCUUCAGACACAGGUUCGAACAAAAGUGAAAGGAAAAAAGGAAAAGAAGGAGCCAACCAUAAAGAAACUUGGAAAGCGAGUUGUCUCCAAAGCCGUGCUUUCCUACAUUUUCCUUCCCCUCAUUUUUUUGUGUCUUUUCUUCUUCAGCUCUCUUUUUCUUUUCGUUUGCUUGCGUGCGUGAUUCGUUGCUAUUAUUUUCGUUUUCUAGUCCCUUUUAGCGUUUUUGGUGUUGCAAAUUUCCCUGUGAACCCGGUGCUCGUGUGUGUGUGUGUGUGGUUCAUUUUUUCCUUUCCUUUCCUGUCGUCUUUUGCGCCAGUAUAAAUCCCUCUCUUUUUUUUCUCAGGCCUCCCUCCCUCCCUCCCUCGUCGUCUUUCUCUAUAUUUGUUUUCCGUGUUUGUGUGUGCUGUUUUCCUUUGCUGUUUCUCUCCUUUUCGUCUUUUUUUUGCGUACGUGCGUGUCUUCGCCCGUCUCUCCGUGCCGGUGGGCGAGACUCAGCAAUUCUUUUCAGUAUUAUUAUUUUCAUUUGCGAACGCAGCAACUCGCAUCUGCAUACUUUUUCGCCUUUGUGGAUCUGGUAUCCAUGCCUCCUGUGCGCACCAUGUACACCCGUGAGGAGCUACUGCGGAUUGCAACACUCGCCAGCGCAAUGGACCUGGGCCCAGAGGUGCUGCGCAAGUUCGACGUCAUCGAAGUCGCCGAACCAGUCCCCGCCCCGAAGCGCCGCGAGGCAGAACCGAAUUUCAAGGGCAGCGUGCUGACGGACAACUUCAGCACUAGCACCACGAUCACUAACUCGGGUCCCAACGGUGGUGGCAACAGCGGCGGGAAGGGCGGCCAUAACAGCGGCAUGAACGGCGGCGGCAGCAGCAGCAGCAACCACACUGGCAGCUCCAGCACUCCGGCGUACGGUGCCGGCGGCGGCCGUGGCGGUGACAACCGCCGCGGCGGUGGCGGCAAUGGUGGACGCGAUGACAACAGCAACAGUAACAGUGUGAAGCCGUCCGGGUACGACCGCUUUGCGCCACCCGAGGGACGAUUUAACCGCGGAAAUCGCAAUCAGGAGACCUUUGAGGAGGGCAUCGAGUAUGAGUUGCGGCAGAGCGCACUGCAGAAGAAACGCGUUGCCGAAACGAUGGAGCGCGAGGAUCGCAAGGGAGAGAACCUGAGGCAGGCCCUGGAGAAGUUCAAGCAGGAGGGCACCGACGCCGAGGCCGCAGAAGCGGAGAAGGAGACGGACGAGAUUGAGCGGCUGCUGGCGGGCAUCACAAUGGUCGAUGACGCGCCAAAGGCCGUGGUUCGCUCUCGCUUCUUCUCGGCCCAGGGCCCAACGGCUACCAGCGCCGAGCCUCCGGCGACCAUGCAGCCAUCGCCGCCGCCGCCACAAGCAUCGACGACGCUGUCUUUUGGAGCCCCCGCGAGCAGCAUUGCAUCUUCCACGACAGGCGCGCCACAGGCGAGCGUGCUCCCGACGCCCGCCAACAGUGGAACGCAGGGCUACGCGAGAGGGCCGUGGUCAUCUAUGAAGAGCGACUCUAACCUCUGGAGCACCGCGCCGUCCAUGGCAAGCGCGCUCAAGCAGUCUCUUCAGCACUCCUUGCCUCCGGCGGACGCGUCGCCGUCAGGUCAGAUCAAGCCUCCGCAGCCUGCGUCGCAGCAGUCGCAGCCAUCCAGUUGUCCUGCGAACACUUCUCACCAGGCAAAGAGCAUGGACGCUGCGACUGCGAACGCCUCGGCCAACUCGACCGGUGCGCCGCCCGCCAGCGGGCCAGCCAGCUUUGGCGUUCCCGCGCCUGCACCAGCGAGCCCGCCCGCUCCCACGCAGAGCUCCGUACUCGGCCCUGCGAACGGACAUAGCAGCACCAAUAUCGCCACUGCAAUGGGCGCCAAGACUGGCGCAUCGAGCAGUGCUGGACAGUCGCAGGCGCCUCCUCACACGCCGCCCCAAACUCCGCCUCACAGUCAGUCGCAGCCAUCUCGCCCGGCCCCAGCGACCGCCAUCAAGGCAGCGCCGCGCAGUAGCGGGUCUACCGGCGUUCCCACAGGCGCCUGGUCGGCGGCGGACCUGGAGCUUCUUCUGAAGAAAGGCGCCACCAUGAUCUCAAGCGCCCCGGCACCCCCGCCAAGCACUGCUACACCUGCCACGACGGCGCCGAAGACGCAGCCCAUCACGGCGGCGGAGCUGGAGAGCAUGCUCAUGCAGCGGGCGCGCCAGGGCAGAGGAGCGACCGGCACUGGUAUGAGCACUUUACCUCCCUCGCCUCCUCAGUUUCAGCAGCCACCUCCGCCGCAGCAGGCGCCGCUUCUUUUUGCGAACCCGUCGAAGACGCCGCCGAUGCCGGCGAGCAGCAACCCUACCAGUGCGCCACUCUCCUCGCCACAGCAGCUCCCGGCCAGCAUGAAGAUGGCGCCAAACGGAGCGAUGCUGCAGCCUAAGCAGCCGCAUCAGCAGCAGCAACCGCUGCCUCCGCCGCCGCCGCCGAUGCCGCCACAGAUGCCCGCGCAUUCUCAGCCGCAAUCGCAGCCACAGCCACAGCCGCAGAUGCAGCCUCAGAUGCAACCGCAGCAGCACCAACCACCGUGGAUGGCGAUGCCGCGGCCGCCGCAGGCUCCGCCGGCACCACAGCCUAACGGUAAUGGAAGUCCUAUGCACAACACCCCGCCCCUGCAGCCGCUGGCUGCGAAGAUGCCGCAGCCUGCUCCAAUGAUGCCGAAUGGGCUCCAGAUGCCCAUGCAGAUGAACGCUCAAGGGCAGUACUUUGUGGAUCCGGCGCAGCUGCAGCGAGUGUACAUGACUGGUCAGCCGAUGAUGUUCCGCCGCCCGGACGGGACUGUGUUUAUGCAGGCACAGCCCAUACCUCAACCACAGCCUCAGCAAGCACCGCCUCAGCAGCAGCCACCGUUCAACCCGUUCGGUACGAAUGCGCAGUUUCUCUUCCAGCAGCAGCAGCGCCGCUAGACGAAGAGCCAAGUCAACGCAUCCCAACCUAUGAGCCUCUAUAUCCUCCUCUUUACCCCAUCAGUGGCGUCGUUGAUCACAAUGGAGAGAUCAUCGUUGCAUCGUGCCUUCAGCACUGUGAAGAGUUGAUGGUUGCACGUGAAGCGGUGGCAAUGGCGAAACGACGACAGACUAGCGUGUCGGUGUGUACACUCUUUUUCAGGCACAGCUGUGUUGCUGAAGCGGCUGCACUUUUCUAGUAACAGACAGACACACACAUACUUACAAAGAAAAGGGUCUUAUGAAGGCACUCCACGAAGUACUCCUUCGCCGCUCUCGCACAUCUCUUCCAAAUACAAAGAUGUGUACGCUGCGACCUGCUCUCAUUUUUUUCUCGGCGUUUCUUUUAAACCAGUUUCGUCAAGCCUUUAUUUGCGCCACUCCCUCUUCAUGGCUUGCCGGAGCUGCUCUCCGCCUUUUCUCUGUCUCGCGCAUUUUUUCUUUAAUGAUUCCUCAUGCAGUCUCCUCUUUUCUUUUUCGCAUUUUGCGUGCCCUGCUAUGUCUUGGCACCGUGUUCUUCGACAGAGCGAAGCACCAUGCAAGGAAAAAGAGAGAGGCUCUGGUCGCCCCUUUGGACGACGCGCGACCGGCCACGCAUAUACGCAGAAACGAUAGCACGUGUUUCAUUGCGUGCUUGCUUCCUGUAUGACCCCUGCAAGCGCACAGGCGCUCUUGCGUUCCCGCCUCCCGCAGCACGUGUGUUGUGGUUCUCUCUCUGUUUAUGUUGUAUGAUGGGAGACGACGGAAGGAGGGACGCGUGGAGGACGAGGAGGCACAACCAGGGUAGUCGGCGUCACCACGGAGCGCUGAGAAAGAGGAGGGUGCAGUGGCCAUGGUAGAUUGAAGGGAGAGAGAAUACCAAUCGACGAGAACCAUACAGCAACAGCUGAUACACACACACACACAUACACACACCCAAACACGCGAAAACCGUGCCAGCGAGCAGAAGCAAUGACAAGGGAUUCACGAAAAGGGCGUGGACGGCAAUCGGGUGUGGGGUCGCUUUCUCCUUUCCAUCGUCGCCUCUUCUGCGCCCCUUCCUCUCCUGCGCCUCCCUUUUCUUUCCCUCGUUUCCGCUUUGCCUUCCCCCUCCCCCAUCUGAAAUCGCCGCCCUCACCAUUUUUUUUCCGUUGACGAUGAGCGACGGGUCUCUUUCCUUGUUCGCUUUUUUUUGAUUUUCUCUUUGCAUGUUUGCCUCUGUGGCUUGCACGUGUUUAUUGCCGUGCACUUCUCCUUCCUUUUCUUUUUUUUUUUGCAUGUUUGCCGUCUUUUCGGUGUCCCUCUUUUCGGGGUGUUUGAAAGUGCGAAAAAAAUGUAUGUGUGUGUGCGUUUUCAUGGAUGUAUUUCCGUCUUGUGCCCCCUGUCAUGCCGCUUUCUUUUUUUAUCCCUUCUUUUGUGGUGGCUCUUUCGUGCAUGUGUGUGUGUGUGUGUCUGGGUUUGAGACGCUGGCUCUCUCUGUGUUCAUGAGUCUCCGCGAAUGCAACAUACCCGUUGCUCUCUGUGCGCCAUCGUAGGCGAAAGAAAAAAAGAGGGAGCGAGGUCUCAAGGCGGAGGCAAGGCACGCUAAGUGCACGCACAGACAAUGACGGCUCGCAUGCACGUUCACAAUCCCACGCGCGAGCUGCCGCCGUUUCAAUCUCUCUAUGUGUGCCACUGCUCUGUUCUAACUCGCCUCCUCCUUCCUCGUAAUGAUUGCUUUGUUCUAUGACGCCCCAUUACUUCUCAGGACGGCAUCCUUUCUUUUACCUCUUGUCUUCCUCCUUAUGCACCCGUUUCUCCUCGUCCUUUUUUCCCGCUCCUCUGUUUCUAUGUAUUGCUUCAAGCGUGCCAUCGUUUUCCUGUUCUAUUCUCGUUUCUUUUUGUAAUAUGUUGCAGUGGCGACUCCCGCGCUCUCUCUCUUCCUCCCCGCGCGCGCGUGUGUGUGUGCGCAUGUGUGCUGCUCGCUUUGUUUUCGCUUGCUUUCUUCGCCGCUUUCUGUGCUGGUUUGAUUAUUACGAUCAUGUGUGCUGUGCUGUGUUUCCUUUUUUUUUUGUUGGUGUUUGCUUGCGCUAAUCAUCACAUCUCUGCGUGCAUGUUCAUGACGGUGUGUUUAUCGUCUUCGCCUUUUUUCUUUUUGGUUUCCGUUUCUCCCUCUUGUGUGUUUCUUCUCAUUUUGUCUUCUCUCGUCUUUGCUUUCCGCUCGUACGUGUCUCUGAUUUCUUACUGCGUUGGACGACUGCCCCCUACCCCCUCCCACCCCCUCUCACUCCCUCUCUGUGGCAUCUGUUUUCUCCUCCGCCGUUUCUUGUGUCGCUCUCCGUCUGUUUGUCGUCAGGCGCGCUUUUUUUGUGCGGGGGGAGGGGGAGGGGUGAUAGCAUGCCACGGGCGCCACCUCGGUGCGUGCGCGUUUUUCUAAUUUUCAAUCAUAGGCAAGUACAGUGACCCUCUUUUUCUGCUCCUCAUUGGCGGUUUCGCGUACGCAUCUCUCCCCUUCAUCUGCCUUUCACGCACACUUGCAUGUGCACGCCUGAGAUGACAUCAACAGGUGCAUGCAAACCAACCUUAGCUAUUUUUCUCGUUUUUUGUUCGGUUCUUCUCCAUAUGUCCAUGCGUGCUUGUUGGAGGGGCGAGAACGAGUAGGUGUGCUUCUGCUUGCUAUUCUCGUGCUUGCGUGGUUGUGCUCGUCGAAUUCGCUCUCCUUCCGUGAGACUAUUCUUUUUUCUCUUCUGUCGUUCUUUCCAGUCCCUGUUGCUGCCCGCUCAUUCUCUCCGUUGCAACACACCACCAUCAUCUCCUCUUCUCACAUGCUGAUCUUGCCUCUGCGCCGCUUUUCCAGCGGCACUCUUCGCCGCCUUCCCCAGAAGCCGCUAGAACACUUAUCAUCAUGCUUCCUCUGGUGCAUCAACUGCCUUUACGCUGGCAUGUGAGACGCAACAACUUCCACCCUUCAGUCCCGUCUUUCCUUUUUUGGUCUUUGUGCGUCUUUUUCCUCCUCUUCCCAUCGCUUGUGUUAUUAUUUCGUCUUUUGUUUUUUUUUUUCGUGCGCAUCUCGGAGAAACUCUCUUCUUGCUCCUUUCAGCUGUUUGCCCAUUUUACGUUGCCGGCCUGACUUUUUUCCAUCUCGCCACACACAACUAUACGCCUACAUGUCGUGCGCCUUUCCUCCGCCUUUUCCGCUCCUCACGAAUGCUGUGCGCGUGCACCCCUCGCUUGUCCUCCUCUAUGCUCUCUGCUCUUUCCUUCAUCUGUCACCUUCUUCUGCUGAUUUUGAACCUCGCUGUGAUUGCAGGCGUACGUCGCAUGUGCUGGGACGCAGCCACAAGCAUCGUCACGUUGUCCUCGGCGGCUGUACUCGAAUUGACGCGGGCGCGCGCGUGCAAGAGUGAGCUCUACCACGUACAGAAAAGGAGUUACGCGAACACAGUGGUGGUGGGCGGUGAGGCAGCAAGAGGCCACGAACGUGAAGCAUUAGACGGCGCCCCCUGAGAAAGAAGGAAUCCGCAAAGGCAAACAUCAACAAGAAGCUUCGAAUGCGCACCGCUUUCUCUUCCUCCCGAUCGACUUGUUCAACUGUCGGCGUCUUCGAUCAAUUGUUUCGUAUGCCUAUGUGUGCAUGAAUGCAUAUAUAUGUAUAUGUAUCUGUUUUUCGUCCGCGUGUGUGUGCGCUUGUGUGUGCGCGUGUGUGAGCCUCCCUUCGCUAUUUCUCUUUUGCUUUCCGGCUCAUCUUGGGUUUCUUGCUGUUACUUGCCACUUUUUUUUUCUUUACUGCUUUCUCUUCCCCUUGCCUUUUACCGACCUUUUCAUCCGCGUGAG